rnacentral:rRNA from 1 species
CAGUCGCCGCGGUAAUACGUAGGGUGCAAGCGUUAAUCGGAAUUACUGGGCGUAAAGUGUGCGCAGGCGGUUCGUUAAGACAGAUGUGAAAUCCCCGGGCUUAACCUGGGAACUGCAUUUGUGACUGGCGGGCUAGAGUAUGGCAGAGGGGGGUAGAAUUCCACGCGUAGCAGUGAAAUGCGUAGAGAUGUGGAGGAAUACCGAUGGCGAAGGCAGCCCCCUGGGCCAAUACUGACGCUCAUGCACGAAAGCGUGGGGAGCAAACAGGAUUAGAUACCCCCGUAGUCCCUGUCUCUUAUAC